rnacentral:rRNA from 1 species
UAGGGAAUCUUCCACAAUGGACGCAAGUCUGAUGGAGCAACGCCGCGUGAGUGAAGAAGGUCUUCGGAUCGUAAAGCUCUGUUGUUGGUGAAGAAGGAUAGAGGCAGUAACUGGUCUUUAUUUGACGGUAAUCAACCAGAAAGUCACGGCUAACUACGUGCCAGCAGCCGCGGUAAUACGUAGGUGGCAAGCGUUGUCCGGAUUUAUUGGGCGUAAAGCGAGCGCAGGCGGAAUGAUAAGUCUGAUGUGAAAGCCCACGGCUCAACCGUGGAACUGCAUCGGAAACUGUCAUUCUUGAGUGCAGAAGAGGAGAGUGGAACUCCAUGUGUAGCGGUGGAAUGCGUAGAUAUAUGGAAGAACACCAGUGGCGAAGGCGGCUCUCUGGUCUGCAACUGACGCUGAGGCUCGAAAGCAUGGGUAGCGAACAGGAUUAGAUACCCUGGUGGUCCAUGCCGUAAACGAUGAGCGCUAGGUGUUGGGGACUUUCCGGUUCUCAGUGCCGCAGCAAACGCAUUAAGCGCUCCGCCUGGGGAGUACGACCGCAAGGUUGAAACG